rnacentral:miRNA from 1 species
AAGAGCCGCUGAGUGGGGAGGAGAGAGGGACAGAGAGCCUGCUUCUUUAAAGGAGCAAAGCGGGAGAGGAGCCGCUUACACGAGUGUAAGCGGCUCCUGUCCGGUUGGUUCCUUUAAAGCAAGCAGGCUCUCUGUCCCUCUCUCCUCCCCACUCAGCUCGCUAAA